UCCGUACAGAAACAAGAAGUCUACAAAUGACAGGUUGUACUAAAAUUAUACAUUUCUGCAAAACCACGGAUACGUUGAAUGUCACUGCAAAAAUAAAACAGUGACCCAGUUACGCAGCGUCACGUGACACGGGUCCCAUGAUAUCGUCGGUAAAAAUAACUAAACUUUUGGGAUCACACGGGACACGACCAGAGGUCUCCUGAGUGAAGGUCCUGUGCUUGUUUGACAAGAUCUUGCCCCAAACCCAGACUCUAAUGUUGCAUACAGUUCAGCCACUUCCUGAGAACACAAAGCUCACAGAUGAGACAUGUUUUUCUCUUCCCUCCCUGCAGACGUGUCCUCACGAUCAGCCCACAUUCGCUGCUCGACAGGUGGAAGCAGGUGGGAGAGGCGUGGGUGUCGUUCACUCGAGGGGUGAGAUUCGCCGUCCUCCCUCUGUUCCGAUUUCUGCUCCUGCGUUGGUACCGAUCUUCUUAAGACACACACCCCUCCAAAGGGCCGGACCAACUGCUUAUCUUACAGCAAGGAAGUGAGGAAGGAACCAUCAACACUGACACAAAGGGUGGGACGCUCACGAUGUGAGUCGCUCAUGUUUUGGUUUUUGCAGUUUUCCUUUAGCUACGGGGGCUAGAAUGUUACUUCUUCAUGUCGGCUGUUCAGAUUCUUUUGUUUUGAUCUGUCUUUUUGUUUAUUAUCAGAACACUGAGCUUUAUGACAUGGAAACAAAGCAGCUGGUGAGAGAAGGAGCUGCUCAGGAUGGUGCAAGGGUCAAGCAACGAAUGAGCUCUAUUUUCUUAUAAGGCUUCAAGACUAUAUUGAAUACUUGAACACCAAACAAAC
rnacentral:lncRNA from 1 species